UCGGGGUGGAUUAGUGGCGAACGGGUGAGUAACACGUGGGCAAUCUGCCCUGCACUCUGGGACAAGCCCUGGAAACGGGGUCUAAUACCGGAUACUGAUCGCCUUGGGCAUCCUUGGUGAUCGAAAGCUCCGGCGGUGCAGGAUGAGCCCGCGGCCUAUCAGCUUGUUGGUGAGGUAAUGGCUCACCAAGGCGACGACGGGUAGCCGGCCUGAGAGGGCGACCGGCCACACUGGGACUGAGACACGGCCCAGACUCCUACGGGAGGCAGCAGUGGGGAAUAUUGCACAAUGGGCGAAAGCCUGAUGCAGCGACGCCGCGUGAGGGAUGACGGCCUUCGGGUUGUAAACCUCUUUCAGCAGGGAAGAAGCGAAAGUGACGGUACCUGCAGAAGAAGCGCCGGCUAACUACGUGCCAGCAGCCGCGGUAAUACGUAGGGCGCGAGCGUUGUCCGGAAUUAUUGGGCGUAAAGAGCUCGUAGGCGGCUUGUCGCGUCGGUUGUGAAAGCCCGGGGCUUAACCCCGGGUCUGCAGUCGAUACGGGCAGGCUAGAGUUCGGUAGGGGAGAUCGGAAUUCCUGGUGUAGCGGUGAAAUGCGCAGAU
rnacentral:rRNA from 1 species